GAUGAACGCUGGCGGCGUGCCUAAUACAUGCAAGUCGAGCGAACAGACGAUGAGCUUGCUCCUCUGACGUUAGCGGCGGACGGGUGAGUAACACGUGUAUAACCUACCUAUAAUACUGGUAUAACUUCGGGAAACCGGAGCUAAUACCAGAGAAUAUAUUGAACCGCAUUGUGCAAUAGUGAAAGACGGCUUUGCUGUCUCUUAUAGAUGGAUCCGCGCCGCAUUAGCUAGUUGGUAAGGUAACGGCUUACCAAGGCGACGAUGCGUAGCCGACCUGAGAGGGUGAUCGGCCACACUGGAACUGAGACACGGUCCAGACUCCUACGGGAGGCAGCAGUAGGGAAUGUUCCGCAAUGGGCGAAAGCCUGACGGAGCAACGCCGCGUGAGUGAUGAAGGUCUUCGGAUCGUAAAACUCUGUUAUUGGGGAAGAACAAAUGUGUAAGUAACUAUGCACGUCUUGACGGUACCUAAUAAGAAAGCCCCGGCUAACUACGUG
rnacentral:rRNA from 1 species